rnacentral:pre_miRNA from 1 species
AGCACAAUUGCUAGAUUAUAUGGUAAAUAUAUAUUUUUAAACUAUUUUCUAGAAUGGCUUUGCCAUUGUACAUUUCUACCACCAAU